rnacentral:rRNA from 1 species
UACGGAGGGUGCAAGCGUUAUCCGGAUUCACUGGGUUUAAAGGGUGCGUAGGUGGGUCUGUAAGUCAGUGGUGAAAUCUCCGAGCUUAACUUGGAAACUGCCAUUGAUACUAUAGAUCUUGAAUACUGUGGAGGUCAGCGGAAUAUGUCAUGUAGCGGUGAAAAUGCUUAGAUAUGACAUAGAACACCAAUUGCGAAAGGCAGCUGGCUACACAAAUAUUGACACUGAGGCACGAAAGCGUGGG